rnacentral:tRNA from 1 species
AAGGCUCUAGCUUAAUUAAAGCAUCUGAGUUGCAUUCAGGGGAUGUAGGUUAAUAGCCUGCGAGUCUUA